rnacentral:rRNA from 1 species
UGGGGAAUAUUGCACAAUGGGCGCAAGCCUGAUGCAGCCAUGCCGCGUGUAUGAAGAAGGCCUUCGGGUUGUAAAGUACUUUCAGCGGGGAGGAAGGGAGCAAAGUUAAUACCUUUGCUCAUUGACGUUACCCGCAGAAGAAGCACCGGCUAACUCCGUGCCAGCAGCCGCGGUAAUACGGAGGGUGCAAGCGUUAAUCGGAAUUACUGGGCGUAAAGCGCACGCAGGCGGUUUGUUAAGUCAGAUGUGAAAUCCCCGGGCUCAACCUGGGAACUGCAUCUGAGACUGGCAAGCGUGAGUCUCGUAGAGGGGGGUAGAAUUCCAGGUGUAGCGAUGAAAUGCGUAGAGAUCUGGAGGAAUACCGGUGGCGAAGGCGGCCCCCUGGACGAAGACUGACGCUCAGGUGCGAAAGCGUGGGGAGCAAACAGG